rnacentral:tRNA from 1 species
GACCGCGUAGCUCAGUUGGCAGAGCAUUGGGCUAGUAUUCCAAAGGUCGUAGGUUCGAUUCCCACUGUAGUCA